GACGAACGCUGGCGGCGUGCUUAACACAUGCAAGUCGAACGAAGUGGCGAACGGGUGAGUAAUACGUGAGUAACCUGCCCUCCUUUUUGGGAUAAGCCUUGGAAACGGGGUCUAAUACCGAAUAAAGGGGGAUGGGCGCGCGGCCUAUCAGCUGGUUGGUGGGGUGAUGGCCUACCAAGGCGGUGACGGGUAGCCGGCCUGAGAGGGUGACCGGGCAAAUUGGGACUGGGAUACGGCCCAGACGCAUACGGGAGGCAGCAGUGGGGGAUAUUGCACAAUGGGCGGAAGCCUGAUGCAGCGACGCCGCGUGGGGGAUGAAGGCUUUCGGGUUGUAAUACUCUUUCGCUAGCGGAAGGGUAGGUGGAGAAGAAGCGCCGGCUAACUACGUGCCAGCAGCCGCGGUAAUAC
rnacentral:rRNA from 1 species